GUGCCAGCCGCCGCGGUAAUACGGAGGGUGCAAGCGUUAUCCGGAUUCACUGGGUUUAAAGGGUGCGUAGGAGGGCAGGUAAGUCAGUGGUGAAAUCUCCAAGCUUAACUUGGAAACUGCCGUUGAUACUAUCUGUCUUGAAUACCGUGGAGGUGAGCGGAAUAUGUCAUGUAGCGGUGAAAUGCUUAGAUAUGACAUAGAACACCAAUUGCGAAGGCAGCUCGCUACACGAAUAUUGACUCUGAGGCACGAAAGCGUGGGGAUCAAACAGGAUUAGAUACCCUGGUAGUCC
rnacentral:rRNA from 1 species